CAGUAGCCGCGGUAAUACAGAGGGUGCAAGCGUUAAUCGGAAUUACUGGGCGUAAAGCGAGCGUAGGUGGUUUGUUAAGUUGGAUGUGAAAUCCCCGGGCUCAACCUGGGAACUGCAUCCAAAACUGGCAAGCUAGAGUAUGGUAGAGGGUGGUGGAAUUUCCUGUGUAGCGGUGAAAUGCGUAGAUAUAGGAAGGAACACCAGUGGCGAAGGCGACCACCUGGACUGAUACUGACACUGAGGUGCGAAAGCGUGGGGAGCAAACAGGAUUAGAUACCCCAGUAGUCCCUGUCUCUUAUAC
rnacentral:rRNA from 1 species